AGGCUUAACACAUGCAAGUCGGAGGGGUAUGCCGAUUUAUCGGCAGAGACCGGCGCGACGGGUGCGUAACGCGUAUGCAAUCUACCUUUCACAGAGGAUAGCCCAGAGAAAUUUGGAUUAAUACCUCAUAGUAUAGCAGUUUCGCAUGAAACCACUAUUAAAAGUUCCAACGGUGAAAGAUGAGCAUGCGUCCCAUUAGCUAGUUGGUAAGGUAACGGCUUACCAAGGCAACGAUGGGUAGGGGUCCUGAGAGGGAGAUCCCCCACACUGGUACUGAGACACGGACCAGACUCCUACGGGAGGCAGCAGUGAGGAAUAUUGGACAAUGGGCGCAAGCCUGAUCCAGCCAUGCCGCGUGCAGGAUGACGGUCCUAUGGAUUGUAAACUGCUUUUAUACAGGAAGAAACACUACUUCGUGAAGUAGCUUGACGGUACUGUAAGAAUAAGGAUCGGCUAACUCCGUG
rnacentral:rRNA from 1 species